rnacentral:rRNA from 1 species
CAGUCGCCACGGGAAUACGAAGGGUGCAAGCGUUAAUCGGAAUUACUGGGCGUAAAGCGUGCGUAGGCGGUUUGUUAAGUCUGUUGUGAAAUCCCCGGGCUCAACCUGGGAAUGGCAAUGGAUACUGGCAAGCUAGAGUGUGUCAGAGGAUGGUGGAAUUCCCGGUGUAGCGGUGAAAUGCGUAGAGAUCGGGAGGAACAUCAGUGGCGAAGGCGGCCAUCUGGGACAACACUGACGCUGAGGCACGAAAGCGUGGGGAGCAAACAGGAUUAGAUACCCCUGUAGUCCUGUCUCUUAUACA